rnacentral:lncRNA from 1 species
AGUGCAGAAUUUUCUGCAGAAAAGUUACUAGGAGCAAACCUCAAAGUGCAGAAUUUUCUGCAGUUUAGCGUUAACGGUUUAGAAAAAUUAUUUCUUGAGAACUAUACAUGUUAGACGAAUGCAGUUUUCGCGAUUGUUUUCUUCUCUGUUUAUUUUACAUAGAAAAAAUUGUUUUGGAUUUUAUUUUGAAAUAAAUUUGUCAUUUUUGAUUUUUUACGUAAACAGACCUCUUACACAACUCAAGGUCAUCUAUAGCCUAGAGCAACUUCAGCAGUAAAUGCUCAAGAUAUAGGCCUAUCUGAUGUAUUUGCAUCUGAAAUUCAUUGAAAUUGAUUGAUUACUUUUUAGUAAGUUAAUUUUACAUUGUCUUCUCUUGUUGUACUGUUUUAAUAACACAUAAAUGAUUGUAUUCAAAUAUUUUAUUUUUAUAUUAACAUCAAUCAUUUAUAGGCCUUAAUUGAUAUAUGUAUUCAAGUUAGCAAAGCCAACAGCCUCAA